CCAAGCGUUGUUCGGAUUCAUUGGGCGUAAAGGGUGCGUAGGCGGCGCGGUAAGUCGGGUGUGAAAUCUCGGAGCUUAACUCCGAAACUGCAUUUGAUACUGCCGUGCUUGAGGACUGGAGAGGAGACUGGAAUUUACGGUGUAGCGGUGAAAUGCGUAGAUAUCGUAAGGAAGACCAGUGGCGAAGGCGGGUCUCUGGACAGUUCCUGACGCUGAGGCACGAAGGUCAGGGGAGCAAACGGG
rnacentral:rRNA from 1 species